rnacentral:rRNA from 1 species
UACAGAGGUCCCAAGCGUUGUUCGGAUUCAUUGGGCGUAAAGGGUGCGUAGGCGGCGCGGUAAGUCGGGUGUGAAAUCUCGGGGCUUAACUCCGAAACUGCAUUCGAUACUGCCGUGCUUGAGGACUGGAGAGGAGACUGGAAUUUACGGUGUAGCGGUGAAAUGCGCAGAUAUCGGGAAGAACACCCGUGGCUAAGGCGACUCUCUAGUACGGUACUGACGCUGAGACGCGAAAGCGUGGGGAGCGAACAGG